rnacentral:rRNA from 1 species
UUGCAGUUAAAAAGCUCGUAGUUGGAUUUCUGCGGGGGCGGGGCGGCCGGUUGCUUAUAGCAACUCGAGCUAGCACUUCCCCCGCAUCCUGCCGCGAACCGUGCUACCAUUAGUUUGGUGGCGCUGGGGAUCGGCUCGUUUACUUUGAGAAAAAUAGAGUGUUCAAAGCAGGCCACACGCCUUGAAUAAGUUAGCAUGGAAUAAUAAUAAAGGACUUCGGUUCUAUUUUGUUGGUGUUCGGGACUGAAGUAAUGAUUGAUAGGGACAGUUGGGGCGGUCAGUAUUCCAAAGCGAUAGGUGAAAUUCUUAGACCUUCGGAAGACUAACAGCUGCGAAAGCGUUCCGCAAGGAUGUUCCCUUUGAUCAAGAACGAAAGUUGGGGGAUCGAAGACGAUCAGAUACCGUCGUAGUCUCAACUAUAAACUAUACCAGCUAGGGAUCGGUCAACGUUAAAUUAUUCGACUUGAUCGGCACCUUAUGAGAAAUCAAAGCAUCUGGGUUCCGGGGGGAGUAUGGUCGCAAGGCUGAAACUUAAAGGAAUUGACGGAAGGGCACCACCAGCCGUGGAGCCUGUGGCUUAAUUUGACU